UGGGAACGUCUGGGGAGGACUGCCGGUGAUAAACCGGAGGAAGGCGGGGAUGACGUCAAGUCCUCAUGGCCCUUACAUCCCGGGCUACACACGUGCUACAAUGGCAGGUACAGAGGGCUGCGAAGCCGCGAGGUGGAGCGAAUCCCAGAAAACCUGUCUCAGUCCGGAUUGAAGUCUGCAACUCGACUUCAUGAAGGCGGAAUCGCUAGUAACCGCGAAUCAGCAGGUCGCGGUGAAUACGUUCCCGGGCCUU
rnacentral:rRNA from 1 species